rnacentral:rRNA from 1 species
AUUGAACGCUGGCGGCAGGCCUAACACAUGCAAGUCGAGCGGAUGAAGGGAGCUUGCUCCUGGAUUCAGCGGCGGACGGGUGAGUAAUGCCUAGGAAUCUGCCUGGUAGUGGGGGAUAACGUCCGGAAACGGGCGCUAAUACCCCAUACGUCCUGAGGGGGAAAGUGGGGGAUCUUCGGACCUCACGCUAUCAGAUGAGCCUAGGUCGGAUUAGCUAGUUGGUGGGGUAAAGGCCUACCAAGGCGACGAUCCGUAACUGGUCUGAGAGGAUGAUCAGUCACACUGGAACUGAGACACGGUCCAGACUCCUACGGGAGGCAGCAGUGGGGAAUAUUGGACAAUGGGCGAAAGCCUGAUCCAGCCAUGCCGCGUGUGUGAAGAAGGUCUUCGGAUUGUAAAGCACUUUAAGUUGGGAGGAAGGGCAGUAAGUUAAUACCUUGCUGUUUUGACGUUACCAACAGAAUAAGCACCGGCUAACUUCGUG